rnacentral:rRNA from 1 species
CUUUAUCUUCGAUUAGAACUCUAAGAAAAAAUUACGCUGUUAUCCCUAAGGUAAUUUUUCUUUUAAUCUUUAUUAAAGGAUCAUUAAAUUAAGCACUUAUUUAUGUAAAAAUAAAAAAAAAGUUAAAUAAAUUUUUUAAUCACCCCAAUUAAAUAUUUAUUUUUAAAAAAAUAAUAAACAAUUCCUCUUUUUAAUUUUAAAAAUAAAUAUCAAACUCUAUAGGGUCUUCUCGUCUUUUAUAAAAAUUUAAGCUUUUUAACUUAAAAAUAAAAUUCAAAAAAUUAAAAUUGAGACAGUUAUUUUCUCAUCAAACCUUUCAUUCCAGCUUUCAAUUAAAAAACUAAUGAUUAUGCUACCUUAGCACAGUCAAAAUACUGCGGCCGUUUAA